rnacentral:rRNA from 1 species
CAGUCGCCGCGGUAAAACGUAGGGUGCGAGCGUUAAUCGGAAUUACUAGGCGUAAAGCGUGCGCAGGCGGUUAUAUAAGACAGAUGUGAAAUCCCCGGGCUCAACCUGGGACCUGCAUUUGUGACUGUAUAGCUAGAGUACGGUAGAGGGGGAUGGAAUUCCGCGUGUAGCAGUGAAAUGCGUAGAUAUGCGGAGGAACACCGAUGGCGAAGGCAAUCCCCUGGACCUGUACUGACGCUCAUGCACGAAAGCGUGGGGAGCAAGCAGGAUUAGAUACCCGCGUAGUCCCUUGUCUCUUAUU